AUUCCAAAUCAUCAAAAUAAAUAACAGAAAUGCAAUUUUGUACAAGAGACAAGUUUUCGCGAAGGGUUCCUCGCGCUAUAUCUGGUACUGCUCCGGGCGGAAUAGAUACAGAUGUAACGCCAGACUGGUGAUGAACGAUUGUGAUAAAAUCGUUGAGGUGGACGCAACACAUAAUCACGUUAAACCUACACUUAAGAAGAUGCCUAACGGGGUUUAUUACAUGGUACGUGCUGCAAGGACUAGAUAAUGUGGACAAUUUAUUAAACAAAGCAAAUUACUAUCUCGCAAAUCAUUCAAUCCAAAGUAAUUUGUUCUGUUGUUAAAAAUAGUGUAUAAAAAUAUUUCUACAUAGUGUUUUUCUAAGAGCCCAGAUGCACUGAAAUUUAUAAAAGUAAACGAGAAAACUGUGAUUUUGUAUAAAGAACACACUUACUCGAAGGCGGCAUCUCGUUACGGUUGGUAUUGUUCCAAACGUACCGUACUCAAGUGUUCAGCCAAACUGAAGGUGGACGAUGGUGGGAUGAUUCUUGACGAAUACGCAGAACACAAUCACCCAAAACCAACACUUAUGAAGAUGCCAAGUGGUGAUUAUAUUAGACUUUAAAACAAUUUAGAAGCCCGUUAGUACGUAGCCUGUGUUACUCUUCAUAUGCUAUUAUAAACAAUAAAGAGUCUUAUUAAUAAAUUUAAAUAUAAGAAUGGCGCAAUAUGUAGAUAAAGGAAUCACAGAAAAGCUGAUUUGCCAAACCUAUAUCCACUAUAAAGCAGAUAUAAUUACCAAUUAUUAUUAUAGCAUAAUUAAUAACCCAUUUCGACAAAAAUUAAAAUAAGAAACAUA
rnacentral:lncRNA from 1 species